UGGGGGAGGGGUGACAUUACUGAUUCAAGUCUGUUUUUCCUACCUCUUCAGUGCCUUUCUCAGUGAUAUGAAGUUAAAACCAAGUACUAUGAGUGCUCACCUGAUUUUUGGUUCUUACGAAGUUGUUUUUUUGUGUAGAUAGUUGUUAAGUCUGUGUCCUUGUAGUGGGGGACGGUCAGUAAAGCUUUCUAUUCCGCCAUCUUGCUCCACCCCUCUCCUGAGUCUAUCUUUUACAUGAAAAGUUUGGUCUACUCUAUUUAAGUCUGGCAACAGGAAAAAUACCUACAACCUCGUACUUUCUCAUGGGAUAGGAAAGAAAAGACUGUAGACUCCCAGAAGAAUAUCAUAAACAAGGAUAUACGGGAAAGAUAGCACUUAAGUUUCUGCCAUUCCAAUGACAAAUGAAGGGAGGAUCUUGCUUAUGUUCAUUGAUACUUGCAUGCUUUGAUACCCAUGUGCUCAAGACAUCAUUUGGGAAUGAGUAUUGGUAUCAAUUGAAGAGGCCAUGUGUUCAAGAUGAUGGAGCUACCGAGUGGCAAAUCUUCCCUCAGCCGUGGACCAGUGUGUCACCAUAUAGAGAACAGUUACCCAGGAGUGUACUCAUCCUGUAUGAAAUUCGGGUCCAAAUUUCCUUGGUACUAAUAUCCCUGGAAGCAUCCCUCUGCCAAUAAUAACAUAGAUGUCGGUGGGUAAGUACCCCAACUUCCUUGACUUUUAGAUAGAAGAACUCUAAGCCAUGUUUUCCGAAGAGUCUUAGAGGAGUCAGAGCCCUGGCUGCCCAUAGUGGUACCUGCUCAUUAACCCAUUCAUAUUGGUUUCUUCCCUAUCCUAGUUUUCUUUUCUGACUCCUUUGCCAGUGAUUCCUAGAAUCACCCUGCAAAUAAACUAUUUCCACUCA
rnacentral:lncRNA from 1 species